CCUACGGGUGGCUGCAGUGAGGAAUAUUGGUCAAUGGGCGCGAGCCUGAACCAGCCAAGUAGCGUGAAGGAUGACUGCCCUACGGGUUGUAAAGUUCUUUUCUAAGGGAAGAAGAAAGUGACGGUACCUUAGGAAUAAGCCUCGGCUAACUACGUGCCAGCAGCCGCGGUAAUACGUAGGAGGCAAGCGUUAUCCGGAAUGACUGGGCGUAAAGGGUGCGUAGGUGGUUUGACAAGUUAGUAGCGCAACUCCGGAGCUCAACUUCGGAACUACUACUAAAACUGUUGGACUUGAGUGCAGGAGGGGCAAUCGGAAUUCCUAGUGUAGCGGUGGAAUGCGUAGAUAUUAGGAGGAACACCAGUGGCGAAGGCGGAUUGCUAGACUGUAACUGACACUGAGGCACGAAAGCGUGGGGAGCAAACAGGAUUAGAUACCCCUGUAGUC
rnacentral:rRNA from 1 species